rnacentral:rRNA from 1 species
UGAGCAAUCUGCCCUUCUCUUCGGAAUAAGCGUUGGAAACGACGUCUAAUGCCGAAUACGACCUCCUUUCGCAUGAUCGGAGGUGGAAAGCUCCGGCGGAGAAGGAUGAGCUCGCGGCCUAUCAGCUAGUUGGUGUGGGUAAUGGCCCACAAGGCGACGACGGGUAGCCGGCCUGAGGAGGGUGACCGGCCACACUGGGACUGAGACACGGCCCAGACCUCCGUACGGGAGNAG